GGCAGUGUAGCCAAGUGGUUACGGCGUCACGUUUAGGUCUUCUAGGCAUUCACCGUGAUGGGUUUCCCGCGCGAGUUCGAAUCUCGUCACUGUCA
rnacentral:tRNA from 1 species